rnacentral:rRNA from 1 species
AACGGACGCUGGCGGCGUGCCUAAUACAUGCAAGUCGAGCGGAAUGAUGAAGAAGCUUGCUUCUUCCGAUUUUAGCGGCGGACGGGUGAGUAACACGUGGGCAACCUGCCCUGUAGACUGGGAUAACAUCGAGAAAUCGGUGCUAAUACCGGAUAAUUGUUGGAACUGCAUAGUUCUAACUUAAAAGAUGGCUCCGGCUAUCACUAUAGGAUGGGCCCGCGGCGCAUUAGCUAGUUGGUAAGGUAACGGCUUACCAAGGCGACGAUGCGUAGCCGACCUGAGAGGGUGAUCGGCCACACUGGGACUGAGACACGGCCCAGACUCCUACGGGAGGCAGCAGUAGGGAAUCUUCCGCAAUGGACGAAAGUCUGACGGAGCAACGCCGCGUGAGCGAUGAAGGCCUUCGGGUCGUAAAGCUCUGUUGUUAGGGAAGAACAAGUAUCGUUCGAAUAGGGCGGUACCUUGACGGUACCUAACCAGAAAGCCACGGCUAACUACGUG